CCUACGGGUGGCUGCAGUGGGGAAUAUUGGACAAUGGGCGAAAGCCUGAUCCAGCCAUGCCGCGUGUGUGAAGAAGGCCUUCGGGUUGUAAAGCACUUUCAGUGGGGAAGAAAGCCUUGGGGCUAAUACCCUCGAGGAAGGACAUCACCCACAGAAGAAGCACCGGCUAACUCCGUGCCAGCAGCCGCGGUAAUACGGAGGGUGCGAGCGUUAAUCGGAAUUACUGGGCGUAAAGCGCGCGUAGGCGGUCUGAUAAGCCGGUUGUGAAAGCCCCGGGCUCAACCUGGGAACGGCAUCCGGAACUGUCAGGCUAGAGUGCAGGAGAGGAAGGUAGAAUUCCCGGUGUAGCGGUGAAAUGCGUAGAGAUCGGGAGGAAUACCAGUGGCGAAGGCGACCUUCUGGACUGACACUGACGCUGAGGUGCGAAAGCGUGGGUAGCAAACAGGAUUAGAUACCCGAGUAGUC
rnacentral:rRNA from 1 species